UGGGGAAUUUUUCGCAAUGGGCGCAAGCCUGACGAAGCAACGCCGCGUAGAGGAUGAAGGCCCUCGCGGUCGUAAACUCUUGUCUAGCGGGACGAAACUCCUUCGCGGAAAUACUGCGGAGGAUUGACUGUACCGCUGGAGGAAGCUCCGGCCAACUCCGUGCCAGCAGCCGCGGUAAUACGGAGGGAGCAAGCGUUACUCGGAAUUACUGGGCGUAAAGGGCGCGUAGGCGUCCAUGCAAGUCUUGUGUGAAAGCCCCAAGCUUAACUUGGGAAGUGCACAAGAUACUGAAUGGAUUGAGUUCCGGAGAGGAAGAUGGAAUUCCCGGUGUAGCGGCGAAAUGCGUAGAUAUCGGGAGGAACACCAGUGGCGAAGGCGAUCUUCUGGACGGAUACUGACGCUGAGGCGCGAAAGCUAGGGGAGCAAACAGGAUUAGAUACCCUGGUAGUCCUAGCCGUAAACAAUGUGCACUUGGUGUAAGCCGGUUUUCGGUUUGUGCCGAAGUUAACGCGAUAAGUGCACCGCCUGGGGAGUACGGUCGCAAGUCUGA
rnacentral:rRNA from 1 species